AUUGAACGCUGGCGGCAGGCCUAACACAUGCAAGUCGGGCGGAUGAGAGGAGCUUGCUUCUCGAUUCAGCGGCGGACGGGUGAGUAAUGCCUAGGAAUCUGCCUGGUAGUGGGGGACAACGUUUCGAAAGGAACGCUAAUACCGCAUACGUCCUACGGGAGAAAGCAGGGGACCUUCGGGCCUUGCGCUAUCAGAUGAGCCUAGGUCGGAUUAGCUAGUUGGUGAGGUAAUGGCUCACCAAGGCGACGAUCCGUAACUGGUCUGAGAGGAUGAUCAGUCACACUGGAACUGAGACACGGUCCAGACUCCUACGGGAGGCAGCAGUGGGGAAUAUUGGACAAUGGGCGAAAGCCUGAUCCAGCCAUGCCGCGUGUGUGAAGAAGGUCUUCGGAUUGUAAAGCACUUUAAUUUGGGAGGAAGGGUUGUAGAUUAAUACUCUGCAAUUUUGACGUUACCGACAGAAUAAGCACCGGCUAACUCUGUGCCAGCCGCCGCAGUAACAC
rnacentral:rRNA from 1 species